rnacentral:rRNA from 1 species
GAUGAACGCUGGCGGCGUGCCUAAUACAUGCAAGUCGAGCGAACGGACGAGAAGCUUGCUUCUCUGAUGUUAGCGGCGGACGGGUGAGUAACACGUGGAUAACCUACCUAUAAGACUGGGAUAACUUCGGGAAACCGGAGCUAAUACCGGAUAAUAUUUUGAACCGCAUGGUUCAAAAGUGAAAGACGGUCUUGCUGUCACUUAUAGAUGGAUCCGCGCUGCAUUAGCUAGUUGGUAAGGUAACGGCUUACCAAGGCAACGAUGCAUAGCCGACCUGAGAGGGUGAUCGGCCACACUGGAGCUGAGACACGGUCCAGACUCCUACGGGAGGCAGCAGUAGGGAAUCUUCCGCAAUGGGCGAAAGCCUGACGGAGCAACGCCGCGUGAGUGAUGAAGGUCUUCGGAUCGUAAAACUCUGUUAUUAGGGAAGAACAUAUGUGUAAGUAACUGUGCACAUCUUGACGGUACCUAAUCAGAAAGCCACGGCUAACUACGUGCCAGCAGCCGCGGUAAUACGUAGGUGGCAAGCGUUAUCCGGAAUUAUUGGGCGUAAAGCGCGCGUAGGCGGUUUUUUAAGUCUGAUGUGAAAGCCCACGGCUCAACCGUGGAGGGUCAUUGGAAACUGGAAAACUUGAGUGCAGAAGAGGAAAGUGGAAUUCCAUGUGUAGCGGUGAAAUGCGUAGAGAUAUGGAGGAACACCAGUGGCGAAGGCGACUUUCUGGUCUGUAACUGACGCUGAUGUGCGAAAGCGUGGGGAUCAAACAGGAUUAGAUACCCUGGUAGUCCACGCCGUAAACGAUGAGUGCUAAGUGUUAGGGGGUUUCCGCCCCUUAGUGCUGCAGCUAACGCAUUAAGCACUCCGCCUGGGGAGUACGACCGCAAGGUUGAAACUCAAAGGAAUUGACGGGGACCCGCACAAGCGGUGGAGCAUGUGGUUUAAUUCGAAGCAACGCGAAGAACCUUACCAAAUCUUGACAUCCUUUGACAACUCUAGAGAUAGAGCUUUCCCCUUCGGGGGACAAAGUGACAGGUGGUGCAUGGUUGUCGUCAGCUCGUGUCGUGAGAUGUUGGGUUAAGUCCCGCAACGAGCGCAACCCUUAAGCUUAGUUGCCAUCAUUAAGUUGGGCACUCUAAGUUGACUGCCGGUGACAAGCCGGAGGAAGGUGGGGAUGACGUCAAAUCAUCAUGCCCCUUAUGAUUUGGGCUACACACGUGCUACAAUGGACAAUACAAAGGGCAGCGAAACCGCGAGGUCAAGCAAAUCCCAUAAAGUUGUUCUCAGUUCGGAUUGUAGUCUGCAACUCGACUACAUGAAGCUGGAAUCGCUAGUAAUCGUAGAUCAGCAUGCUACGGUGAAUACGUUCCCGGGUCU